AAAAAAAUACUAUUAGAAUAGCUUUACUAAAGAAAGUAUAUAUAAUACCACAAAAAAGAUACCACGGAAAAAGUAUAAUAUAAUAGGUAUCAAAGAUCAGCGUUAAAAUGUACGGUACAGCAUAUUUUACCGAUGAUAUUACCAUUAUAACCCAGGUAGAGACGUCAUUAAGACGUUAUUACGUCAUUUGACGUCAUUCUGCUACCUGGGAAGAUAUUGCCAUAUCAAAAUAUAAUCACCGAUAUUCUUCUCAAAGAGCGAAUCUGAUGUAUCCAUUAAAGAACAUUACAAGGCAUGAAACAGCGAACAAUGGCGAUUUAAAUAAGCAAGAAAAGAAGACUUCGAGAAAACAAUCUGAUUCUCCUACAGACAGAGGUGAUAUGCAUGGUCCCGAAGACUUGCAGAAAAUUGAUUUACGAAAAUCCGUGUCGCCGACAUCUAAAGUGUUUUUAUUUUUCCUCUACGUAUCCUAUGAACGGAAAUAUUGCGAUAUGAAGACCAAAAUGUAAAUA